GACAAACGCUGGCGGCGUGUAUUAGGCAUGCAAGUCGAACGGACCUUCGGGUCAGUGGCGGACGGGUGAGUAACACGUGGGUAACCUGCCCUGCAGUGGGGAAUAACUCGCCGAAAGGCGAGCUAAUACCGCAUACCACUCCCGGUGAGAAUCCGGGUAGUAAAAGCCGUAAGGCGCUGUUGGAGGGGCUCGCGGCCGAUUAGCUAGUUGGUGGGGUAAUGGCUCACCAAGGCGACGAUCGGUAGCNGGUCUGAGAGGACGACCAGCCACACUGGGACUGAGACACGGCCCAGACUCCUACGGGAGGCAGCAGUGGGGAAUUUUGGACAAUGGGCGCAAGCCUGAUCCAGCCAUGCCGCGUGCGGGAAGAAGGCCUU
rnacentral:rRNA from 1 species